AUUGAACGCUGGCGGCAGGCCUAACACAUGCAAGUCGAACGAGCGGCGGACGGGUGAGUAAUGUCUGGGAAACUGCCCGCUGGAGGGGGAUAACUACUGGAAACGGUAGCUAAUACCGCAUACUAUCGGAUGUGCCCAGAUUGGAUUAGCUAGUAGGUUGGGUAAAGGCUCACCUAGGCGACGAUCCCUAGCUGGUCUGAGAGGAUGACCAGCCACACUGGAACUGAGACACGGUCCAGACUCCUCCGGGAGGCAGCAGUGGGGAAUAGUGCACAAUGGGGGAAAGCCUGAUGCAUCCAUGCCGCGUGUAUGAAGAAGGCCUUCGGGUUGUAAAGUACUUUCAGCGGGGAGGCGUUACCCGCAGAAGAAGCACCGGCUAACUCCGUGCCAGCAGCCGCGGUAAUAC
rnacentral:rRNA from 1 species